AUUGAACGCUGGCGGCAGGCUUAAUACAUGCAAGUCGAACGGGAUUGAGAAGCUUGCUUUUCAUGAGAGUGGCGCACGGGUGCGUAACACGUAUGCAACCUGCCUUGUCCAGGGGGAUAGCCCGUUGAAAGACGGAUUAAGACCGCAUAACAUCAUUGAAUGGCAUCGUUUAAUGAUCAAAUAUUUAUAGGGACAAGAUGGGCAUGCGUCUGAUUAGCUAGUUGGCGGGGUAAUGGCCCACCAAGGCGACGAUCAGUAGGGGAUCUGAGAGGAUGACCCCCCACACUGGUACUGAGACACGGACCAGACGCCUACGGGAGGCAGCAGUAAGGAAUAUUGGUCAAUGGGCGCAAGCCUGAACCAGCCAUGCCGCGUGCAGGAAGACGGCCCUACGGGUUGUAAACUGCUUUUAUACGGGAAUAACCCCGGUUUCGUGAAACCGGCUGAAUGUACCGUAAGAAUAAGGAUCGGCUAACUCCGUGCCAGCCGCCGCCGUAA
rnacentral:rRNA from 1 species